rnacentral:rRNA from 1 species
CAAUAGCGUAUAUUAAAGUUGUUGCGGUUAAAAGCUCGUAGUUGGAUUUCUGCCUGAGGCAGCCGGUCCGCACUUAGUGCGUGUAUCUGGUUUGGUUUGGGCAUCCUCUUGGGGAUCGUUGCUGUGCUUAGUUGCAUGGUGCGGAAUUCAAGACGUUUACUUUGAGGAAAUUAGAGUGGUUACGGCAAGCUAUCGCUUUGAAUACAUUAGCAUGGAUAAUAAUAUAGGGCGUAAGUUCUAUCUUGUUGGUUUCUAGAACAUACGCAAUGAUUAAUAGGGACAAUUGGGGCGAUCGUAUUAAAGCGUCAGAGGUGGAAUUCUUAGAUUGCGUUACGACGAACUAACUAGCGAAAGACAUUUGUCCAAGG